UUUUAACUUUAGUGUAUCUGGGAUUUAUUUUGGCUUAAGGAAUGAAGAUAGAGAGCCAGCCUUGUUUUGCAAAUGGCUAGCUGUGGUCUCAACACCAUUUUUUUUGAGCACUCUCUUCUUUCCAUAGAAUCCUUAAAUUUGAGAUUGGAGAUUUUCUGAUUGAUAAAUAUUUUGUGUUUACAGUGCCAUUUAGAUGUGUUGGGGAAAGUGCACACGUAAAUACUUAUUGUAGAAUUUCCAUGUAAAUUAAGGCUGCUGCUACAACUAAACAGUACAAGGAAUAAACAGCUUAUGAUCAGGAAAUAAAAAAGAAUGCUUAUGGUUUUUGCUUAGAUUAGGGAAUGAGAUGUGCAAUGUCAGAAGGGAGAUCUUAGAAUGUGUAAAGUGCUGGGAUCAAAAAGUAAUCUAAGAAGAGAUCAUAAUAAUCAGGUUGCAGGUUCACUCCUAGUACAUCAUGUAAUAACCCUUUGUGUUAAACGAAAACCAGUCCAAACUAAGGAAAUUAUUUUCAUGAGAAUGUAUUUUACAUUGAUAUUCUUAAAAUAACAGGCAUUUUAACAGAAAUUUGGUUCUGUGAUUUGUUUACAUUUAUAACUACCUUACUGGAAGUCAUUGAUCUUAUUAAAUGGGAGACCUCAAUGGGACAUUCCUGAUGUGACAAGUGGAGUUUUAUGAUUAGUAUAACUUAAAACUGAGAAUAAGGUUACUUGUCUUGGUAAGCUACAAAACAUGUCUUCUGAGUCAUAAAUUUUUGUUACUUUAUCAUUCAAGUCCUUGAGCCAAGUAGGAGUAGUGAGAGUUGUGCAAAGGAUAGUGGUGCUGUAUUUGUUGUUGCAGUCUCUAGGCUGGGUGGAUUGGUUCAGAGAAAGGAUAGGACUGUAACUUCUUAAAACAAAACAGGCUAUGACUGAAGCAAAAAAGAAUGAGGAUAAAAGUUACUUAAGGAAGGAUCCAAGUUUUGGGGAGGCAAAUGAAACAUCUUGUUACUUUUAGUUUUUGCCCAAGAAUGGUAGCAAACAGGAUGAGCUGAGAGGAACCCUGGGGUGAAUAGGGUUGUCUUUGUUGAUGUGGGACAAAUUUGGUAUUUACAGAUAUGUGAAUGUUAGAGGCAUAAUGUAGAAAAAGUGUAUCAAUUAUGUUUUUUCUGGAAUUUGCUGGGAUCUAUAACACGUGUGGUAAAGGAAGGAGGAGGGACUACCUUAGAAAUAAGACCAACGUUCAGUUUUCCUUGAUUAAAAUCUGAAUAUAUCAAAAUACAAAACUGUUAGAAUGAUUUUAUGAGCAUCAGUGGGAAGUGAACUUCCAAAAGCUUAUUGAUUUAAAAAAAUACAUUUUCACUUCAUGCAAACCAUAACCUAAAACUUAGGUAACACUCAAUUCUUUUCUUCUUUAUUCUAAAUAUUUAAGUGUAAAUUACAAGUUAUUACUUUAAAGGAUGACUCUGAAACCUAUAAACUUCAGAGUCAAACCAUUACAUUUGUCUAGAUAUUGAAAGUAAUUGGACUUCACCUGAAAAAUGACAGAAGAUCAGCAAACUCGGAAGUAUGUUUACUAUUCAUGAUUUAAGGUGAACAUUGAGCUUAAAUUGAUUUGUUUUGAUAUUUUUUGGUAAUGUACCAUGUUCCCACAGAAUUAAAGGCUUUCAUUGGCAUACGUAGAUCCAGCAGAGAAUGCAAAGCAUUAAAUAAUAAUGUUGUUAGUAUAGACACUACUGAUAAUUUAGUAAUCCUAUAUAAUGGAAGUAUAGAAGUGGUGUAAAAAAAUCUCAGACGCUAUUUGUCUUCAUUACACCAUAGUUAGGGCCAGUUCUUGAAGUGUAACUUUGGCAGCAGAACUUCUGAGUUUUAAAUUAUGGCUUCAGUUGAAUGAAGGACUCUUACAUUAAGUGAUUUUUGAAGGUGCUUGGCUGAUUUAACCUUGUGAAAUAGUGUGAGACAUUUAUAUUUAGGAUUGAAACUACUAGUGCUCUCGAAAUGGAGGAGAAUUAAUUUUCAGGAUUAAUGAGGAUUUUGGAAAUAUAAGCUUCACACUACAGAGACCAAAUAAUGGCUGGAUGUCACUUGCAGCAUAAGAUUUAGGCUUCUCAAUGGAUUUUGUUUUAAAUCCUACAGUCUCAUUCUCUUGUCAUAUAUACUGCCCGCACAGCAAUCCUUAUUUUCUGUCUCCUUAGUAUGAUAGCCCAGACUUGAGACAAAAACUUCAGAAACAGCAAGGACCCCACUUGCUAAUGUCCAGAACCCAGCUCUCCUAUCACCAUUUGGCUUCCAGUGCUUAGAAACAUUCAGUACUUGUAGAAUGAGUGAAUCCCUUAUUUUGAUUUUAGAAACAAGCUAAUUUUCAUGUACUACCAGCGCUGCUAUUGGAAUUAGGAGUUUCUAAAUACAGAAAAAUAUGUUUCUAGGGCCAGCCUGCUCUGGUUCAGCAUCAUACUUUGCUUGCCUUGGUUUUUUUGCACAAAGAAAGCUAAGUUGCUAUUCAGUGUCAUUAGCUUCAUUAAUGAUAUUGUUAUGUUUAACUUCGUAACAAAAAACAAACAAAAAAAGGAACAUUUCAGAAUCUUAGGAGAUGAAUAAAAUACUAGUGUAGCUCUGUAAGAACCGCCUUAGAAUUAAAUUAUCAUAGUUACUGUAACGCCUGGCAGCUGAUGGGAUAAGAAGAACAGCCUUUCAUUCUAAAUAGGAUUGUGAUGCUCUGGAUAGAAAUGUGUACAUUUUCAUUUUUCUGUGAUAAAAAUGGCUUUUGAUAUUUUAUGUGUCAUGUUAGAGAUUUCAUUCCAUGAUCAUUUGUUCAUUCACAUGUAUUUUUAUUUUUAGCUCUAAGCGAAAGACAUGAGGCCUAAGACUGAGAUGAGUUUGUUUUGAGGCCAUCUGAUUUCUGACUAGAAGGUGUGCGAUCGCCUCGUCCUGAAACCACUGCAAACAGAAUGGUUUGCAAUUUUUUUUGGUGAUGGCAUGUUCAGAAUCUUGGAUCCCUAAGUUGAGUGUAUUGGAAAUAUUUAGGAACUCUGGAAAUUAUUGCUUUGUGUAUAUAAUGACUUACUAGGAGAAUCAGUAGCUUUAAUAAAAAAAAAGUCUGUAGAAGAAUAGAUACUAUAAUUUUGUGUUUCUCAGUUGACAUGCAUGUCUCAAAUUCUCAUCUACCAGUAUUAGUGUCAUUCUCUGGAGAUAGUUAUAGUUUGAAGAUUUGGGGGCUGCCAUGUUUUCCCAGGCAGGUUAUGUCAUCCUCCCAUGCUGUGUUGGUCAGCUCCUUUUCCUUUCUAUCUACCUUGCAGGGUAGCUUACUUAGACCAGAGGUAAUUAAUGAUCAGGAGGAGACAAGUGACAGUCCUAUGAAUAGUCAUUAUAGAAUUUCAGCCUGGAAAUGACCUCAGAAUGGUCUGUAUUAGAAUAUGCAGAUUUUAUUCAAAUACACUUGUGACCAAAUGCUGCUGAUUUUUGAAUUGGAUAUUAUUAUAUAGGACAGAAGUGCUAAUGAGGAAAAAGAGCUGUUCCCUCUCUCCCCUAUUGUUGGGUGCAUGAAUUAGUGCGAAGUAAAAUGAACAAGAGAUAGUAUUAGUAUAAAAGGGAAGGAGGAAAAACAAAACUUUGAAUCUCCAAGAAGGAAUACUUCCCCUUAAAAAUUUGCAAGUUAGCUCUAUUCCACGUACCUGAACACAGUAUUUUAAAACCAUAGACUCAUUUUCAUGUAGACCCAGAAUAUGAACUCUAGGGUAUGCUUGACCAGAGGAGUACCUGGAGAACUUGUUAUUUGACAGGAGAAUCAGGCAGUCCCUGGGUGAGUCCAUGGUUGACUGCUGGGAUGAAGAGAUUUGAGGAACUUUGUGGAGGCAGUUUUUUUUGAUAGUCAAAUACAACAGCCUUCUUACACCUCUGACCAAAAAUGGGGAAAGAUUGCUUUUUAAGACUGUCUUUAGAACAACUUGAAAGAGGAGAAUUCAUUCAAGGAACUAUAGACUAGUAGCUCAGUAGAAUGUUAAUGUAUUCAUUUAUUGCAAGUUUUAUUAUUGGUAGAUUAUCCAAUAAUGUGAAAGUUUGUGUAUAACCAAAGUUUUCAUAACAUUUCUAUUAGAAGGCUUCUAGAAGCUAAAUAAGAUACCCUGUAGCAUAACCCCCACCCCUUUGCUUUAAGAAGAUUUGACUGAUAUAUAUUUAAUAGAUGGCACAACGAAAACAUGAGAUUUUUAAAAAUCAAGUUACAUUUUAAUUUAAAUGUGCAUUGCCUAUUUGCUGCUUUCCGAUUACAACUAGCUUUUAAAAAACCCUGCUUCUGUGAUACUUUUGUCAAUAGAGGUGUUUCCUCUAAGACAAUUCCAGCCACAAUAUUGACUGGGCCUCAGCAUUUGAUAUACCCAAAAGGAAUAAGGCAGACAGGAAAAAAACUUGGUCUCUACUGGAAUGAAUAUUUUAAAAGCCUUCUUAAAUUCUGAACACUUUGCAUACAAAGGAAAGAGACCCAAGAGAGGGAAAAAGUUAAGAGCCCAAGAAUAAAAAAUGGUGGUGAGGAUGGGGGAUAUACUCUUACAUAGUUAACCUAAGGUGUGAGGGAAAUUAAGUUCCUGGAGAGAUUAUGAGGCUUUAUAUGAAAUCCCUGGGACAGCAGACAUUCUAAUAUUCAGUUGGGUAGUUCACACUAGCAUGCAGUAGUAUUUUAAGGCUAGUGACAGUUGAUCUGGGGAAAUAUUAGUGUGUUUCUUAACAGUGAGUUUGACUUUUAUUUUAGCAUGUUAUAAAUGGGUGUGCAGCUCAAAGAUGAACAUCAUUCAAAAUAAGUGUCUUCAAUAUUAGAGAAAAUAUUAUUAAAAAAGGAUCUUUUGUCCCUGUUGUAUAACUUUAGAAAGUAAUGUAGAAUACAGAGCAUAAUAGAGAAUUGAUGGCAUGAAUAUAAUCAGUAUUUGAUGGUUGCUUUCUAGAAACUUCUAAAUAAAACCUGACUUUUGUUUAAUGUUGUCCUUAGUUGUACUGUAACAGAAUUUUAGUGGGAAAAUAUGUACCUUCGUGGGUCACCAUAUUCCAUAGUCUGGCACAUCACUGUGAAAGUUUAGAAGUCUGACUCAGUUUCCCUGAGGAGGAACAGAGUUUUGUAAAUUUUUGUACAGUAAGUACAUAGGGACCCACAGAGAAAGUGAGCCUAGAACAAUGAAUGGUUCUUUGUAUUUUGGUACCUUUAGACCCCUUUAUAAAUGAGGGUAACUUUCUCCAACAAGACUGUAAUUUCUGAGGGUAGAGAGACUGCCCUGGUCAGGAAGCCCUGAUCUAAAAUAUCAUCUUCAUUUUUCUUCUGACCUUGCUUUGACUUUAUUGUCAUUCUCUGUCAGGGGUUCUCUGUCGCCUUUGAAGGGAGCUUCAAAUCUUGAAGGAUGUUUAUACUGCCUUGUUACAUUGAACUGAAGCCACAAGUCCAGAGCUUUGUAAUAUAACGGAGCAAACCUUGACUACAAAGAGCUGCCCCACAAGUACAGUGGUAAAAAUAGAGCUGAGGCACAAAAGUAUGGCACAGCCUUCUAGGUAGUACCUGCUUCCUGCCGGUGUAGGGGCGUUUACUCCAUAGUAAGUUGAGUAUUGAUGUUUUGUUUUUUAAAUGGACAUAUUUCUUCUAAAAUCCCUAAUUAUUAUAAAAGUUUUCUACCUAAGUCUCGAGACCCCUUUUUCCUCAUAUGUUAGGAUGUCACAUUAAUGGUAUAAAAUGUGUAUUUCCAAUUAACAUAGUAACUGGGAACUUGCGAUUCUGUAACUUUGUGACUCUGAAAUUUAGAACACAUUCUCAGGAAAAUUGUUGAGAUUCCCAGGUAAUUCCUUCUCCAUUCCUUUCAAGUUCCUGAAUGUAUGAUUGUUUCCGAACCUUAUUAAGCCAUUUAUAAGAUUAGACAAAACUGUCUUCGGUUCUAUUUUGACACAGAAUGGAUACAUUUGAUUUAUCUUAUUAGAAAUGUGUUUUAACAGAAAAUUCUAUUUGAAUGGCUCUAAUCUUCACUUUGGAAUCUCAGAUCCCCUGCUUGUUAUGUUGUUCAUUGGGACUUUCCUGCCAAAAACAGCUUUGCUGAGAAGAUCAUCCUUGAAAAAUCAAGAAAUCUGAAGAAACUGAUUUGGGGAUUGAGUAAACAGAUGGAAGAGCACAGUCAGAUUGACAACUGCAGCACACUUUGGAAACGUAGACUGCAUUGCUUUUGUACAUGAAACAAUUUGACUGUUUUAUGGCCUGGACCUAUAGAGCAAGAAAACCACCUCAUGAAAUGUAUCUUUGCCAUAAGAGAGCAUACUCUGGCCUCUAAAACCUUUCUGUCAGAACAGCCUGCUGGUGACUAGCUCACACUGAUGGAGAGAGCCCAGAGCUUUGCACAGGACUGGAAGUUAGACGUCAUGUUCUGGACUCAAAGGUGUUUGUAAAUUUCCCCUGGGAAUAUAGUGUUGGGGGCUUUUUUUUUGGGGGGGGGGAGGGGCUUUUUUAAUACCUGUCUCCCCCGUGCUUUGCAUGUCCCCCGAGAAAGGCACCCGAGCCCAUCUGUGCCCCGAUUCUUGUUCCCUGGCCAUCCGUUUCUGCACCAUUGACUUAAAGGUGGGGGAAAUGUGGAGCAUACAGGAUUCCAGCAUCCUGUUAAAUCCAUCCCGCUUAAUCCCUCCCAGGCAAUCGUAUUGCAUUUCCUUUUCAGUCUUUCUCAAUGUUGCCUAAGUUUGAGCCCCUUGAUUAGGUCAAGAUAGAAUGAAAACUCCACCAUUUCAGGCUUCUUCCUUCCCAUUGCCAUGUUUUGUCUGGCCCGUAGCGGGAGGUUUGCAAGUCAGCUUACUGUAAAAGAGUCCACUUAUGUCCUUUCCUCUCCAUCUCCCUUCCUGCACGUUCUGGUCUAGAAAUAAAGCAGAUCUAGACUUGGGGACUUGGGCUGUGCAAAGUGUGCCUAUAGAAAUUCACAGCACUGUAUUUAGAGCUGCGGUGUUGACUGUCGUCUCCUUUGUACCUCUGCCCUGUGCUGGGGACUCUGUUGGGUGUGGGGGCCCUCUUCCUCUCCAGCAGCUGACUCUCUUGAGGCCAGGAGUAGACCUCAUGGUGCCAUAGGUACAGAGAAAACCACAGCUGACCUCUGUGAGAGCUUCCUAGUUCUGGGGUCAUGAGUUCAUGAGGUCAAGUUACCAAGAUCUUUGUGUCCUGCCCUGGACCCUAGUCAAAGCUGGGCACGUGCAGAGAAGGUCAUCAUGUCAAUAGGAUUUUGAAAGUGAGACUUGUCCAAAAAUAGACCACAUUUCAGGGUAACCAUGAAUCCACAUUGACUGUUCUGGUGUGUCUUACUUUAAACAAAAUAAAAGAGUAUCCCUUAAAAACACUACCAAAUUACCAUGAUGUGCAAAAUGUGAUAUUACUCCAAAAAUAAUUUUUACAAGUGCCUUUCAGAAAUGUGCAAAUGUGUUUUGUGUAAAAGAGUAUAUACUGUGUGUAACAAUUUUCUGAUUCUUGCUCUAAUAAAUAUUAAACUUAA